rnacentral:siRNA from 1 species
UGGCCGACACACGACUACUCAGA